GACGAACGCUGGCGGCGUGCUUAACACAUGCAAGUCGAACGGAAAGGCCCUGCUUUUGUGGGGUGCUCGAGUGGCGAACGGGUGAGUAACACGUGAGUAACCUGCCCUUGACUUUGGUAUAACUUCAGGAAACUGGGGCUAAUACCGGAUAGGAGCUCCUGCUGCAUGGUGGGGGUUGGAAAGUUUCGGCGGUUGGGGAUGGACUCGCGGCUUAUCAGCUUGUUGGUGGGGUAGUGGCUUACCAAGGCUUUGACGGGUAGCCGGCCUGAGAGGGUGACCGGCCACCUGGGGACUGAGAGAGGGCCCAGAAUGCUACCGGAGGCAGCGGUGGAGAAUAUUGCACAAUGGGCGGAAGCCUGAUGCAGCAACGCCGCGUGCGGGAUGACGGCCUUCGGGUUGUAAACCGCUUUCGCCUGUGACGAAGCGGGAGUGACGGUAAUGGGUAAAGAAGCACCGGCUAACUACGUG
rnacentral:rRNA from 1 species